rnacentral:lncRNA from 1 species
CGUUCGCACAUUCACACUCUACUCAUUCGCGCCCAAUUUUAAUUCAAAUUCAAGUUGAAUAAUUGGAAAAUCAUGGUUGUUGUUUUAAAUUGCUUUGGUGUAAAUACUGAAUGUAUUUAUAGCUUGGUAUGAGUAAAACAUUGAAGAUUUUAAAGGAAAAAUCACAAAAGAUAAUUGUUUUUAACAGCUUCGUCCCAUUGAUCUGAAACAACGAAACAAUAAAACAUAGAAACCAAAAUAUAGCAAUCCACUAAUAUAACCAAAACAUGAUAAAAUUUAUUCAACACGCAGAAACAAACAUAGUCAGAAUCUCACUUCAUUUUGAAAACAAGUCAAUGAAACAAGUUAUAGCAAUACACUAACCAAAACAUGAUUAAGAGUUAUUCAACACAAAAUAAAACGUUGACAAAAUACCACUUUAUUUAGAAAGGAUUAUUAUUAUUUUAAGCAAUACCUUAUCCAAAACAUGAUUAAGAUUUAUUCAACACAAAAAAAAUUAUUGCUGUCUCACUUUAUUUUGAGACAAUGGUAACAAUUAUACUUAUAAGAAAACACUUGCUUACAGAGUUAUUAAACACAAAACCAAUUAAGAUUGGGUGCGAACAUGUAGGGUGUGAAAGUGAAAGGGGUGAAAAUGAGUGGGCGCAAACGUGAAUGGAAGCGAACGGACCCAGAUUCAGACUAUGUACUAGUGAGAAAUAUACAAGCCUUUCUACGGUAUUUAUUUGUACAAUUCAGCUAGUCUUGACCUAUUCAUUUGUCUUAAAAAAACCAGCCAGUUGUCACCUUCACUUCACACAUACACACAUAUACGAAUAUCAAUUAUAUGCUCACGACACAUGUUGCAUUGUUAAACUAAUUACGGUAUGUGAAAAUCAAGACUUGCAUAAAAACUAUCCCAAUAUUAGAGACAGUGGCGUCAUUUUUCUUCAGAGCUUUCAGCUCUUUGAUUAGAAU